AGGAGGAACAACCCCAGUGGCAGCGGCCAGCUCUGGAGCCCUGGAUUUAGCCCCUGCAGUAACUACAGAGCUCUACCUCUGCAGGGCCUGGAGGCUCCGGGGCGGG
rnacentral:pre_miRNA from 1 species